UUAGAUACCAUUUCUUUUUUAUUAAAGCAAGACCAUGUCAUCAUUACAAUCUGCUACUGAGCAUGUCUCUCACAAAGGUAUCAGACAGUAAUUAUUUUCUCCUGAAACAAGAAUAUGUGUUGAAUAAAUAUAGAAUGAAGUUUAAUUUAUGUUAGAGUUUUAUAAAGUAUAUAUAUCUUCAAGUCCACAUGUGGCCAUGUUAUUACUGUAGAAUCUUAAAUCAUUAAGAAAAAAUUACAAACUCCAUUUAUGUAAACAGAUUCUAACGCAGUCCAACUUGUUUUGUUAAAGUCUUAUUUGAUAUAAAAGGGGAGCUAUUUUCAGGGUCCACCACCCACCUACUCUUUAAAGACAAAUAUUACUCAAAUAUUAAUGUUCUCCACCAGGUAGACUAAGAAGAACACAACUGCAGAGUCUUUAAUUUCAAUAUUCCACGUCAAUUAUCUUAUUUAAUGAGUUUAAAUCAAUAAUGGUUUAAUUUAAGCAUUCUUUUUUUACCAUUUUAGUAUAAACAUGACCAUUGUUGGUUCUGAACAUUUCUUGGCCAGAGAAUGAAUCCCUUUGUUUCUUGAUUUCCAGCUCUCCUGAGCUGCUGUAUUCCAAAAUAAAAAGGAAGGAUUUUAAAACAGGAUUCCAAAGAAGCUCUAUGCUUCUUUUUUUCUAUUUGAGUAAUUGCUAAUAAGAUUAGAAGAGUCAAUGGUUAGACCUGAGACCAAACUGCAGCGAGGCUUAUUUGAGCUCAGUGUGGAUGUUUUAGGCUCACACACGGCAUCCCCAGCCUGGUGAGAGGCAAACUGCCCUUUGCCACAGAUGCAUCCUCAGAGGUGGAGUCUAUAAUCAGGUCACUCAGCAAAUGUCCAGCACCUCCUUGGUGCCAGGCUCACCAUGCUGAGUCCUGGGGCUGCGGCCUUGAAUGAGAGUGCUGGGUUCCUGGCAUCUCAGUACCUGCAGAACCAUGCAGGAGGUAGAGGCAGCAAACGCAGGGCGGGUGAGUCACAGUGGGGCAGGAGAGUCAAGUGGUGUGCAGCCACAGAGGGGCAGACAAGGACUUGUUUAGACAGGGCUGUCAAAAAGACCUUGUUGAGGAGGUGGGCCUGGAACCAGCCAUAACUAUAAAUCCUGAGUGUGAAAUCCCAGAGCUGAAAGUAACCUCGAAGUCACAGGGUAUAACCACACUGGUCACAGAUGCAGAGAUUGCAGGACCAGAACAGAACCUCCUGUGGGAAGAGGCAGAGCCACCGCAGGACCCAGGAGACUGGGUUCCCAGGGCUAUCCUGCCUUUUGCAGGGAGACUCGCCUAUGGGUUCUAUUGUAUAAGGUAGAUUCUGAGACGGAAGGAUCUCUCCAAUUCCUAGAUUGUAGAAUUCAGAAACCGAGAGCGAGGCAGCAUUUGCCACACGUGGCAAAUUCACCAGGUCAUGAAUCCUGUCAUAGACUGAGUUUUCUGGAUUAAAAAAUUACAUCAAUUCCAAGUCAAUGGAUACCAAACCAUCUUGACUUUCUACUGCAUUGACUCAGCCAAGAAAUUAGCUCACCUCCUGAGAGGUGGGUGGAGGCCUGCCAGAGGUUUAUAGAAACCUUCUGAGGAGCUGCUCUGCUAAGGGUGAGCUUGGCGCUCCUUGCAUUCCCGGGGCCUUCCCUCUGAAGAACGCAUUGCUGGAGAGGAGCCCUUGCUUUUAGUUCUCAGCUCUCAAGAGUAGGUGCUUUCCUCUGAGCCUGGAGUCUUGUCUUUGUCAAUAAGGCCACUUAUGGAGGCUUGGAAGUUGUGUGGAAGAGGCCAGGGGAGGAGGAUCUGGCUGGAGCAGCUGGGGUAGAGAAAACCCCCACCAUCCAGGAGCCCUGGCUCCAGAAAUAGUAGAAUGAAGGGUGAAGGGCAGUGAGAGGACCCCAGCCAUCUUAGCUGAACUGCACCGAGGCUUCCUGCAGAACUGGGCUCCUCUUGCUAACCUUGGGCCCCUUUCCAUGUGUUCAAGGCUCUCCUUGGAGUCAUGUUGUCCAAUUAUGUGGCACUUGUGGGGCUGAGCUCAGAUCUGGGGUUUGCAGGAUUCAAGACGCCUUCACAUGGGGUAGAGCCUAGAUGUGGCAUGGGGGACAGCUCAUGCAUGAGGUGCAUUUGGCCUUGAGAAGAGACCCAGAGGGGAGCAGGCUGGUCCAGUGCUGGGAGGACAGUCCUAUGGAGCAUUAGGAAUAUCAGCAGGGUAAGUUUCAGACUCUGGUUCCUACAAGACUAGGCAACUUCAGUCAUGUCCUGCUCAGAGGAGGCAUCUCGCACUGGCUGAUCUCGUGGAUAAUCGCACAACUGGUCAUGAGAAAUGCUACGGUGUGGCCUGUCACAGGAGCCGAUGUCACACAUAUUUAAGGCUAACACACAUCUGAAGCUUUGAUAGGGCUGUGCUUAUGUCUGCCUUUCACAGAAGAGCAGAAAUGGAGAAAUGAGAGGCCAGGGUGGGUCUGAGGCCAUUCUCCAGUCACUUCAGGCUUGGCUCGCAGCCCCACUUCCUGCCCCACAGCCUCCUGCCCCUGCCGCCAGAACGGCUGAGCCUGCUGAUGACAAAGCCACAGCUCACAGGCUGACAAUUUUGUCUGGACUUCUAUCAAGGCCGGGACGGCAGUCAAUAGCACAUGCAGGAAAUUUUAAAAGAUCAAGAGCAGCUAACAACAAAAUCCACUCUGGGAUGUUUUUAACCAAACAAUCAAGGAUUCAGUGCUUUCCGGGGGUGAGGACCAAAACAGAGCAGGACUGGCAGCCAGCAUCACCUCUUCCAUCUUCCGUCUGUCCUGAACCAGGCAGUACAGCCUAAAAAUAGCGCCUGGACCUCACACCAUCAGUGCUUUUGUUACUUACUCUCUUUGGUCUUUUGAAAAACAUAUUCAUCGGGACUGAGAGUCUCCCAUCAUUUGUAUUUAUAGAGUCCUUUUUUUCUGAAGUCGUGAACGUGCCUAUUCUCAUUUCUGGGAAGUCAGUGGCAGGACUUCGGUGAGGGGAAAGUGGCUUCAGCUGGGUUAUAGGGGGAGGUGGUAGAAGAGUGAGGUGAGAGCACCAGGCAUCUGGGGAUGGAGCCCGUGAGGGCUCAGUGGCUUUCUGACUCUUCCUAAGAAAGAACAGUGCCCUCCUUGCCCUUCUCUGCCCAAAGCCCUCCCCAGGCUUCCCUCUGAACCACACAUUUCCUAGGAGGCCUUCUGGGAAGCUGAGCUUCAUGGUGCCUCUCGCUCCUCCUUUAAGUCACACUCAGAGGUGCCUGCCUCUGGCACGUCUCAGGAGGGCAGGGGCCGAGCCUCUGCUCUGUUCCGGAUGCCCGCAGACCCUGAUUGACACAGCCCACAAGCUUGAGUGGAGGGGGCGCCUAGUCCUCAGCACUAAAUGGCAAUACAGACCUA